GUCGCGAAGCAGUUGCUGUGUGCGGGUGUGCGCCUUAGAGAUAAAUUUAUUACAAGGGAAGAACCUGAGAGGUUGGCCAGAGCCAGUGUGCAGUUUGUUGCAGGUAUCUUCUAGCUGCAGGCAUGGAGCAACAAACGGCAAGGGAGGCAAACCGAAUUGUUAAAAAUAGUCGAAACACCUGAAGUAUGCGUUCCAUGUGAAGUUAUGGCAGCUGCAACGCCUUGAUGGGCGUGGAGAGCUGAAAUACCCCUGCACCGAGCUAUCCCUGCACGUUCGGCCUGGAGCCUUCAGUGGCCGUACCCAUCAAACACAGGGCAAGCGUGCAUCAUGAUCAGACUGGCUCAAGACGGCUCACCUGCACUUGUAACGGCAGCAUAAUUCAGACUCCAAAACCUAAACUUGGGACUGCUCUGUCCUUAGAAACCGGCUACCGAGCAAUUUCGCUAUGCAGUUCCAUGUAAUUACACGUAGCAGGCAUUCAUUCCUGAGAAACAUUUCAAAGUAUGAGCAAAAAUUACUGCCUGCUACACAUAUAGUUGUGUCAUCAAUAAAUUAUUUUGUUUUACUUGC
rnacentral:lncRNA from 1 species